rnacentral:lncRNA from 1 species
GGCAUUGCCUUGGAACCCAAAGCAGCCCUCACUGAAUGUUCUGGGUCAUUGCUCUUCCCAGCCUCUGGGAUGGCAAGAGUUGACAUGUCAACUGGUGCUGUGUUCGCGUCUUGUUUCGGAGCCCAUACUGUUGAGAUUUCCUGGGUACAGCAUCCCUGCCAUCUCUACCGCAAGCGUCCUGAGCCUCUGGAUCUUCUGCCGUUCUGUGAUGUCCCCCCUGAAUCUUAAGUGUAGGAGUUAUAUGGACCCAACGGGAGCCAUCAAUUAGGACCACGCCGGUGCCUACAGCUGACCUGAACUGUGUGAAGACAGAGCUUCCAUGAAAUGCCCUGGAAUCACUUUGUUCCCAAGGAUCUUAAUUACAAGGAGUCCUCAUGGCAAA